rnacentral:rRNA from 1 species
GAUGAACGCUAGCGGCGUGCCUAAUACAUGCAAGUCGAGCGGACAGGCCAUGAGCUUGCUGCUCUUACUUUACGUGCAGACGGGUGAGGAACACGAAGAUAACCUACCUAUAAGACUGAGAUAACUACGAGAAAGCGGAGCUAAUACCGAAGAAUAUAUUGAUCCCCAUAGUGCAUUAGUAAAAGACGGUAUUUCUGUCACUUAUAGAUGGAUCCGCGCCGCAUUAGCUAGUUGGUAAGGUAACGGCUUACCAAGGCAACGAUGCGUAGGCGAACUGAGAGGGGGGUAGGCCACACUGGAACUGAGACACGGCCCAGACCACUACGGGAGGCAGCAGAAGGGAAUGUUACGCAAUGGGCGAAAGCCUGACGGAGCAACGCCGAGUGAGUGAUGAAAGUGCUGGGAUCGGAAAACUCUGUUAUUAGGGAAGAACAAAUGUGUAAGUAACUAUGCACGUCUUGACGGUACCUAAUCAGAAAGCCACGGCUAACUACGUG